CGGGGUCACCACGGAUUGCAGCAGCCGCAGGGAGCUGGAGCUCGCCUCGCUCGUUGACAGACAGACGUUGGCGAUGGGGAUCGCACGUCAGUCGGCGGCGAGAGCGGGCAGCGUUAGUCACAGCAGGUGCACACCUGGUGAACUCAGAAGAGGCACACCUGGGAUAAAUCCAACCUCACGUUGCCCAAUCCUGUCCUAGCAAAUCUGCCGCGCCAGCAUCUGAUAUGAAUGUUCAAGGAAGGGUAAAUUCAGAUUUCUUUCAAUGAUUUCAAUAGGGAGGAUGCAAAUGUGUGCAGAUGUGAAUGGCAGCAGUAACACCAGGACCUCCUGCCUGUGGCCCGAAGCACAUCAGCCCGUCUUACCCGGCAUCCCCACAGGAUGCUGAAAAAGGCACAGUCACAGUGGUGCCUCAGACACCAAAGGGACACAGCAGAGCAGUCAGCACAGCUCUGUGGCUCUCCUGGUCACCUGCCCCACCAUGCAUGGCUCCUUCUGGACAUACUUAAAAGCGUGAAGUCUCACACCCCGCUCUUUUCAAAGUCUGGUCUUGAUAGACUGAAGGUCAGCCUUAGCCAAAAGCUUGGACAUACUCUAUACCAGCAUGAAAAAGACUCAGUAGACAGAAUACAUGCCAUCUGUUACUCACACAAGAAACUUUACAUACUGCAGUUUAUUUUUAGGGUAAAUAGUUCAUUCUAUUGCCCCAGUUUCAUAACUCUACUUCUGACACAGCAAAUUCUCGAGAGCAAAAGUCAGUAGAAAAUGGGUAACUUUGGGACAGAAAUAAUGAUGUCCUUUGAAAUGAGAGUCACUGGGUAACACACACGAGUCCAGUUUCUCUCUGAAAGACUUUUUGUGUUUUGGUAGGGGUUGGGUUUUGUGGGGUUUUUUUCCCACAAAUAGCCUUUUUAUUUCCUGAGAAAAAGGCUGUGUGAACCCAGAGUGCCCGUUGAAAAAUGUGUUGUUAUGUUUAUGAACUGUACUACUGGUCAGAUUUUGUGACAUGAAUAGUAAUUUAGCAAAGGAACAAAAACAAAACAAUUUGUGCCUGGGUGAAAACCAUGUAUGCAAAAUGUCAGCUCUGGGCAACUUUUUACGGAUGGAAUAUAGCAAUUAUAACUCCUGAGAGCAAGUUCAUAAUGGAAUCAUUGGCAUGACCUUAACUACUGUGAUAGGAACAAGAUGCCAUUAGGUGUUUGCUAUGAUGGAUUAAGGAGCACAAAGCUCUGUGCAACACCGCUGGCUGUCCAGCAUCCAAAGGAUGAGGGCACUAAUGCCAGCUAGCCAUCAACAGCUGGUGGGGUGGAAGAACCAGCUCUCAGAGCCCCACACCUCCGUACCCCUGUCCUGGGGAGGGGAGGGCUCCCCAGUGCAGCCCUGCCGGGCUAGUGCUCCCACCGGGAGAAGGGGAGGCAGAGACGACUGUGUCUGGGCUGCAGGCAGAGAGCCGGCAGCUCAGUUCUCCUCGCCAGCAGUGUCUUCACGCUGCGGGAUCGGUGCGGGGCCAUUGUGUAACACAGAAUCACAGCAGGGUUUGGGUUGGCAGGGACCUCCAAGACCACCCAGUCCCACCCCCCUGCCAGGGACAGGGACCCCUCCCCCCAGCCCAGGCUGCUCCCAGCCCCGUCCAGCCUGGCCUUGAGCCCUGCCAGGGCUGGGGCACCCACAGCUGCUCUGGUACCCCCACGGCUGUGGGUAACACGCCGCAGCAGCACCUUGGACUGUGGGCAGGCUCAUUAACAUUCGUGUGUGGGUACGUCAGCUUGCUUUUGUGCUGCUACAGGAAAAAAAGCACUUUUGGGCUGAUGGGGAUGGCCUGCUUACCUGCACACUCCCCCCUGCCACAGUGUCGGUGAACAUCUACUGAGUGCCCACAACCACCUUUUUGACUGGACUGGUUGCCUUCAGGAUUUCCUCCUGGCUCUUGCCAGGUAGCACGAUGAGCAGAAGCUGGAGCACGGCCCUGGUCCGUGGGCCACAAUGCUUCAGGUCGCUCACCCCGCACAGCCGCAGCCCCGGCCCUGCAUCACCCUCCUCCCGGCGCAGCAGCGUGCAGCUCUUGCACACGCUUACUCUGCUCAGCCCUUGUGCGGUGGGAAGGGAAAUCAGCUGGUUCAGGCUGCUUCGCUGCCUGGGCUAACACACCCUGUCCUUUUGUACCUAGCGGGGCUGAAAAUUUUCAGCACAGCAUAAAUUAAUUUAGCCUGCAGUUGUAAAGUGUAUUACAGAGAUGAUUAUAUUCCUGUUCUAGAGUGUAUGCACCUUAAUAAAACCCCAGCUAAACUGCAUAUGGAAAAGCACUGUGCAGUGCACGGCCGUACUUGGCACAGCAAACGGCAAUCCUGCUGAUGGAAACCCCGUGUUCAGCAGCAGGCUGGAGGGAUCAGCCCUUGCACGGGGAAAGUGGAGCUAUACAUCUACUAAAGGUUCUUCUGCCAGCAGCCCUCAUUACUGCCGCAACCCAGCAAACUGCUUCUCGGUGCUGGGUUUGAAAUCCAAGUGCAUAGUGGUGACCGCGAUGAGGAAAAUCCAGCGUCGCUCUCCUGGCAGUAACACGUCCAUCUGCGCUCACACCGGGGCGACUGGGCAUGAAAUUCUGCCUUAUGGGCUCAACUCCUGCCCCCCAAAACUGUGUUACCACAAAGCAGAGACAGCUGCAGUGAGGGAGGUUGGAAGAACGGGUCCUGCAAGGUGAAGCGGGGCUGAGGCCCCGCUCGGUCCCGGUCCUGUUGGAGCUGUGCUACAGGAAUGCCAACAGCAGCUCUGGCGUGAGGCAGCACGCCUGGGCUGGCCUGGGCACCCAGUACUCACCUGCUGCUGAAGAGGGUUUCCUGCUGGACAAGUCUCUGAUCUUCACUGGACUUGGAUUUACGACACAGCAUUCAGCCUGCCAGGCAUUUUGGCCCAGCAGACACGUCGCGACAAGGCACGUUGCCCUCGCAUAACGCCUGCGGGUACAGGCAUUUCAUGGGAAGCUUGGGAGCGGUGUUCCUGCAAAGUUCCUUCUUUCACAAGCAGUUUUUGAUUACUACAUGAACUCAGUCUGUUUUAAAGGGUUCAAAUUGAAUUAUUUCUUCCAGAAUUUGUACUCGAUGCAGUGUAGAUCACAGUGCAGAACGACUGCAAUGCUAAAUCGUAAUCUCUGCCAUAAGUGACUCUCAGAUCACACCACCUGCAGAGGAUCUUGCGGGUGGCUUUGGCCCCAUCUGAUGCCAGUGGAAGUGGAGGAGAAGUGAAAGCUUCCCGUGGUAAGCACUCAGACAGACAAAUCCAGAUAUAUAUGGGCACAAGGGAAAGGAGAGAGUUUGAAAGUAAACCGUCCCUUUUGAGAAUUUUUUCUGUAGUACAUUGUGUAUUCCGAACACAGAAAAGCGAUAUACAACUGACGAAAGCACGGCACGGAGCCGUGCUCAUUCAAGUCUGCAGUUGUGGCAUUCACUAGGAGGUUCUGCAUCUCACUUCCCUGCCCGCGCUGAGAUCCACAGCUGAUGUUUCCUCCCGAAUUCCUGGUUGGAAGUGUCCCGACCCAAGAGCUACACUUGUACUUGGCAACGUAUUCAAUCUUAAGUCUUGCAUAUUCAGCUGUAACCAGUGGAGCUGUUUUCCCUCAGCACUGUGCAGUGAGGAUCUGGCCCUUCAUUUUAAUUCUAAUUCGUUUGUUCCCAGCUGAGUCGGAAGGAUCACCAAGUCCUUCUGCAAGGGGUACUGUGAUGUGAAAUCCCAAGCCUCACAGUCAGGAAUCUCACCAUCAGAGCUUCAGGAAAGCCUGUCCGACACCUUGCAUACCUGACCUUUAAAGUAAUGCAUAUUUUGACUGGUUCUCCCAUUUGCCUCAUCUCCAGGGUUUACUGGGAUUCCAAGCAGUGAGCAGAAGCAACCAUCAAAUCAAAUUAUAGGACAUUCAGCACAAAGUAGGUUUAAUGUCACCCAUCAGAAGAAACACUUCUCAAAACCCCAACUUCUCUUUCAGUGUGGCUGACAAACAGCGCUGAGCAAAGUCUGCAAGGAGCUCUGCAGCGAUGGAUGGCCAGUAGGACGCCUUGCACCACUGUCACCCUGAUGACCUUCUCAAGAUGGUGGGAACUUGGAUGAUUUAAUGCAAAUUUCCUUAUUCUGUAAUCGUUAAGGAACAUCAAAGGUGGCUCUGGGUGGCUGUAGGCUGACAAGCAAGCACCAGGAAUCACUGCAGAUAGGAUGUGCUUCGUGGUAGCAGCAGCAAAUUCAGACUGCACAGGGGCCUGAUGGAGGGACGUGGCGUGUGUCAAAUGGCAACCACGAGCCAGCAACGUGACCUUGCAGCAGAGGAGGUCAGUGGUACCUGGGCUGCAUCAGGAGUGCUGCCAGAUGGUCCGUCCCCUCCACCCAGCACUGGUGGGGCCACACUGGCAGCACUGGGUCCAGUUCCCCAGUGCAAGAGAGACAUGAGCAGACUGGAGAGGUUCCAGCAAGGGGCCACCAAGAUGCUUGAGGGAGCAGAGCAUCUCUCCUCCAAGGAGAGUUUGGGAGAGCUGGGGCUGCUCAGCCUGGAGCAGAGCAGGCUCAGGCAGAUCUCAUCAUGUAUAAAUAAAAUUAAGUUUACAAACUAGGAAGAUUAAAUACAGCUCGUUAUUUUAUUACAACGGCAGACUCUUUCUCAGCAACAUGUUUUCACUAAUCAUACCACGGGUGCUACCAGUACCCUUCA